GCGUGUUCAUCUAGUGUUAUGGUGCGGAUGUCACUUGUCAGUUGGGGGAGAAGACUCAAGAGCCUUGAGAUGAAUGCUCUGCCUUGUGGUAUUAUCCUCAUUGCAAAGUUUAGUGUACCUAGUAAAGACUACAGUUCGGUUUUUGUACACUUGUUUCCCAUCAAAAAAAGACUCCACUGAUUGUAUGAUUCUGAUGACUUUUUCUGGAGGUAGGCUAGCUGGUAGCGCAACGGAAUCUAGCUGGAUUCCUAGGAAAACCAAGUUGGUGGUAGGCACUACUGUCUUCUCCUGGGAGAGUGGUACCCCUAAUGUUGCAAAAAGC